AGUGAACGCUGGCGGUAGGCCUAACACAUGCAAGUCGAACGGCAGCACAGAGGAGCUUGCUCCUUAGGUGGCGAGUGGCGGACGGGUGAGGAAUACAUCGGAAUCUACUCUGUCGUGGGGGAUAACGUAGGGAAACUUACGCUAAUACCGCAUACGACCUACGGGUGAAAGCAGGGGAUCUUCGGACCUUGCGCGAUUGAAUGAGCCGAUGUCGGAUUAGCUAGUUGGCGGGGUAAAGGCCCACCAAGGCGACGAUCCGUAGCUGGUCUGAGAGGAUGAUCAGCCACACUGGAACUGAGACACGGUCCAGGCUCCUACGGGAGGCAGCAGUGGGGAAUAUUGGACAAUGGGCGCAAGCCUGAUCCAGCCAUACCGCGUGGGUGAAGAAGGCCUUCGGGUUGUAAAGCCCUUUUGUUGGGAAAGAAAUCCAUCUGGUUAAUACCCGGGUGGGAUGACGGUACCCAAAGAAUAAGCACCGGCUAACUUCGUGCCAGCAGCCGCCGUAACAC
rnacentral:rRNA from 1 species